rfam:TPA: Bos taurus chromosome 13, whole genome shotgun sequence.
UCAUGGAGGUGGCUGGGGCCAGCCUCAUGGAGGUGGCUGG